GAUGAACGCUGGCGGCGUGCCUAAUACAUGCAAGUCGAGCGAAUGGAUUAAGAGCUUGCUCUUAUGAAGUUAGCGGCGGACGGGUGAGUAACACGUGGGUAACCUGCCCAUAAGACUGGGAUAACUCCGGGAAACCGGGGCUAAUACCGGAUAACAUUUUGAACCGCAUGGUUCGAAAUUGAAAGGCGGCUUCGGCUGUCCCUUAUGGAUGGACCCGCGUCGCAUUAGCCAGUUGGUGAGGUAACGGCUCACCAAGGCAACGAUGCGUAGCCGACCUGAGAGGGUGCUCGGCCACACUGGGACUGAGACACGGCCCAGACUCCUACGGGAGGCAGCAGUAGGGAAUCUUCCGCAAUGGACGAAAGUCUGACGGAGCAACGCCGCGUGAGUGAUGAAGGCUUUCGGGUCGUAAAACUCUGUUGUUAGGGAAGAACAAGUGCUAGUUGAAUAAGCUGGCACCUUGACGGUACCUAACCAGAAAGCCACGGCUAACUACGUGCCAGCCGCCGCCGUAA
rnacentral:rRNA from 1 species